AAAAAGAAUAAAAAGAUCGAAAAGAGGAAAGAGAAAAAUAAGAAAAAAUAAAAAUCGCUGAGAAAGAUGUUGAAUUGAACUUGAAGAAAAAUGAAUGGAAUUACGAAAGAAUCAUAUCUAUCGAAGCAUAUCUGUAUACGCGUGAUCUAACAGAUAAAUUGAUUAUCGAACUGAUUAAGCGGCAGCUGUAUGCGUUCUUUCGUUUGAAAUAUAGAGACAGUGCGUUAUAAAUCGCAGUUAAGAAUCGAACAGGUGGCUGGCAAGGCUGAGCCGAAAACGGAAUAUAUCUAUUCUCGCCUGAUCGAAUACGUUCACCUAUGUGAAUUCAGCACAGUGCGUGAUUGAAAUUCACCGUUAUAUAAUACAGGAUUGAAAUAAAUAAAAGAAAGUAGUUAGCAAUUACUAAUAGUAACCAAUGUAUUAAGCAAAUAUUUAUAAGUAUUUUCAUAAAAUAUACGAGAUUUUAAUUGAAAGCGAGAUCAAAAUCGAAGAGUUUGAAAAAUGACUGAAUCAAAUCUACGAUGAAAAAUGAGCACGGAAAUCAUUUCGUGGGAAAUAAUCCAUCAAUUCGUCGUUUAUUACCAACUUAACUCUCGAACUUAUUCACUGAAUGAUCUCGGUUUGUCAUUUAUUUGAGAAAAUGAUGAAAAUAUUGAUUAUUUGUGUACUCGAUUGUACACAAUUGUAAAUUGGCACUAAAUUGACGGAAUGUUUAUACAAUACGGCAUAUACAAUACCACGCCGCGCCGUUCCAUCUUUGGCGUGGCCAAGCCACGAUAUGAAAAUUUCUCACGAAUGCGAGACACAAGCGUGUACACCAAUUGCGGUCAACUGUGUUCACAAUCGACGAAAGCAGUGCUCGUGACUCACUCGUUCGACCAAGUCGAUGGUAAACUCUGUUUCUCGCCUUUCGUCUCUCACCUCUUUCCCAAUGCGGUCAUCUAUCAUGUCGAGAGCUCAAAGUGCAAGUACCGAUAGCAGGUCUGUAUUCGACCGCUUCGGUACCCGUACUGCCAUCUUUUUCCCUUUCGAGAGGUUUGAUCACACUUGAAAUUAGAUAUUCAUCUUUCUAUCGAAUGAAUGUUUGCGUAUCGAUAUUAUCCUGAAAACACUCUUUUCUUUUUUUUUUCUUUCGUUUCGAAUCUAAUUCGAAUCUAAUCGAAAUCUUAAGUUUAUUUUUAGUUUCAAUUUUUUUUUUUAAUGUUAAAUGAAUCAUAUCGGAAAUUUACAAACAAUAGAUAGAAAAUGAUAAAGUUCUGUUGCUUUUUCUAUACGUCAUCGAUAUGUCGAUAAAGUAAUAAACGUAUAUCUGUAAUGAUUAUCAGGAAUUUUCUAUAGAACAAAUUUAACUACAAUGGCUAACUUUUUGUAUAAAGUUGCAUUAUAGUGCAGUCUGCAUGCUUUACAUCGAAUAAAAACGUUGAAAAUUGUAAUAAAAAUAAUAAAAAUUGUAAUAAAAAGUUCAAUAGAUCGAGUUACACGUUUUACACGAUAAAUGUUCAAAUAUAUAUUUUCUUAAUAAUUAUUAUAUUUCAAUUGUGACUGAAUUGAAAAGAGAGAAAAAAAAAAGGAUACAAAACUGCCCACUGAAUGUAUUCGUUGAAUCAUUUUUGAUAAUUCACGAAAAGUAAAAGUUAAAUUAACGAAUUCGUUAUCCGUAAUUAAUCGUUACGAAAUCAUGUGUUUAAAAACAUUUAAAUUUAUAAUUUCUUUUUUUGUCAUUUGAGUAUUGGUUUGAAAUUUAGAGAAGAUUGUAAAUCAGACGCGUUUGAGCAAUGCUUAUUUAUAUGUCUUUUUUGACAUUGUCAAAAAGACAUUUGUCAAGAUAACGAAUCAUUCAUAUAUCAAAGGAAAUAUUUAACGGAUAUAAAAGCGCAUAAAAUUUAUACAUAUUCUUAGAAAUUAUUAUUUUACGACAUUAAGUUUGUUUAUGAUAUUAUUGUAUCACCGCAUCAUAGAAUAAUAAAAAAAAAAAAAAAUGUUUUAAAAAUAUACUCGAUAACGGUAGAGAUUGACGAUAACCAGUUGUGAAGACAAUUUGAAACAUCUUUAAACUAAGUGAAUCAGGAAACAAGCGCUAUUAAUUGUUUAUCAUGCAUGUUCGUUCCAUAUGACCCAAUGCUAGCUUUCAGUUACACGAGACUCACGAAUGAAAAUAUUGAAGCUAGUUUACAUAAUUCUUUGUCUAAUUGAUAUCAUGUACGCAGUUGCGAGUUUGGAAUAGAAGUUUUCCUUCACGAUUGUCACAAAAUGUGCGUUGACAAAUUUUAAUACUUUUAAUAUUCGAUAUAUAUACUUACAUGUUCAUACCCUCAGUUUCAUCGUUUCAAUAAAUAUAAACGAUA